AGGGAACUCGACUAGGGGUGCCUCAUACUCUAUUGGCCCAAAAGAACCUGGUCGUAGAAUUAAUCUAUAUUAUAUAGUCAAUAUACAUCUAAUAUCUAUAUAAUUAUCAAAGUUAAAACGGUUGCCAGGCAAGAAUAUCUGAAUAGGAAUUAUAGAGUACAACAGAUAUUUAUAAGAUAGUUUUUGAAUACCACACUUUCAAAUAUAAACUUAUUUUUGGAUUGAGUGCUAGACAAACUCAUGUGCUCCACCUCAGCCCCCGGCCCUUUCCUUCCCUCCAUCACUAUCAAUCGGUCCUUCUAGCCCCGUCCUCUUUCUAUCACUACACUACUCUAUGUCUGUCUGUCCAUGUCAAUUGUCAGGAUGCCAUCUCUCAUCCGCUGUAUUCGGAAGCUCUGGAGCCCCUAGGUCCAGACAGGAUCAAAGGCUGCCCUCCUCCUUCUGCUACCUCUCACGGUCUCACGCUGAAUUGACCACCACCCGGCGUUGCCUCCUUUCUCCCACAACACAAACCAAAACUA
rnacentral:lncRNA from 1 species